AGCGGCGGACGGGUGAGUAACGCGGGGGUAACCUGCCCUGUACACACGGAUAACAUACCGAAAGGUAUGCUAAUACGAGAUAAUAUGCUUUUAUCGCAUGGUAGAAGUAUCAAAGCUUUUGCGGUACAGGAUGGACCCGCGUCUGAUUAGCUAGUUGGUAAGGUAACGGCUUACCAAGGCGACGAUCAGUAGCCGACCUGAGAGGGUGAUCGGCCACAUUGGAACUGAGACACGGUCCAAACUCCUACGGGAGGCAGCAGUGGGGAAUAUUGCACAAUGGGCGAAAGCCUGAUGCAGCAACGCCGCGUGAGCGAUGAAGGCCUUCGGGUCGUAAAGCUCUGUCCUCAAGGAAGAUAAUGACGGUACUUGAGGAGGAAGCCCCGGCUAACUACGUGCCAGCAGCCGCGGUAAUACGUAGGGGGCUAGCGUUAUCCGGAUUUACUGGGCGUAAAGGGUGCGUAGGUGGUUUCUUAAGUCAGAGGUGAAAGGCUACGGCUCAACCGUAGUAAGCCUUUGAAACUGGGAAACUUGAGUGCAGGAGAGGGGAGUGGAAUUCCUAGUGUAGCGGUGAAAUGCGUAGAUAUUAGGAGGAACACCAGUUGCGAAGGCGGCUCUCUGGACUGUAACUGACACUGAGGCACGAAAGCGUGGGGAGCAAACAGGAUUAGAUACCCUGGUAGUCCACGCCGUAAACGAUGAGUACUAGCUGU
rnacentral:rRNA from 1 species